rnacentral:rRNA from 1 species
AUUGAACGCUGGCGGAAUGCUUUACACAUGCAAGUCGAACGGCAGCACGGGGCAACCUGGUGGCGAGUGGCGAACGGGUGAGUAAUACAUCGGAACGUGCCCAGUCGUGGGGGAUAACGUAGCGAAAGUUACGCUAAUACCGCAUACGAUCUAAGGAUGAAAGCGGGGGAUCGCAAGACCUCGCGCGAUUGGAGCGGCCGAUGUCAGAUUAGGUAGUUGGUGGGGUAAAGGCCCACCAAGCCGACGAUCUGUAGCUGGUCUGAGAGGACGACCAGCCACACUGGGACUGAGACACGGCCCAGACUCCUACGGGAGGCAGCAGUGGGGAAUUUUGGACAAUGGGCGCAAGCCUGAUCCAGCCAUUCCGCGUGCAGGAUGAAGGCCUUCGGGUUGUAAACUGCUUUUGUACGGAGCGAAAAGGCUCUCUCUAAUACAGGGGGCUCAUGACGGUACCGUAAGAAUAAGCACCGGCUAACUACGUGCCAGCCGCCGCAGUAA